rnacentral:lncRNA from 1 species
CAAACCCUACAGCGAUGCCUACGUUUCCCUCUAACUCAGUGACUGAGACUUCUAACCGUCAACUUGGCACAGUCUAGAGGCACCAGAGGUGAGAGUCAUGAUGGAGGGAUUAUCCAGACCAGACCAUGAAGAAUGGAAGGUGCUAGAAGGCACCUGAGACUGAGGAACAGGUGGCGCUGUUCUGAAGACUCGUAACCCCUUUAGAAGGUGAAGCCUGAGAGGCAGAUAUAGUUUGCUAGGGGCGAACCUUUGAAGGUUACACCCGCUCCUGGUUCCAGAGAGUUCCAUCUUUCCUGGUUCACUGUGAUAUGAACAGCAGCUCCAUGUCACACACUGCCACCAGGCCUGCUUGACAAUGAUGAACUGAAAUCCCUCUGAAGCCCUGAGCUAAAAUAAAAGCCCCUUUAAAGUUG